GACGAACGCUGGCGGCGUGCUUAACACAUGCAAGUCGAACGAAGUGGCGAACGGGUGAGUAACGCGUAAUCAACCUGCCCUUCAGAGGGGGAUAACAGUUGGAAACGACUGCUAAUACCGCAUACUGAAGGAGGGGAUUGCGUCUGAUUAGCUAGUUGGAGGGGUAACGGCCCACCAAGGCGAUGGUCAGUAGCCGGUCUGGGAGGGUGGACGGGCACAUUGGGACUGGGAAAAGGCCCAGAAUCCUACGGGAGGCAGGAGUGGGGAAUCUUCCGCAAUGGAGGAAAGUCUGACGGAGCAACGCCGGGUGAGUGAUGGCGGCCUUCGGGUUGUAAAGCUCUGUUAAUCGGGACGCGGUACCGGAAUAGAAAGCCACGGCUAACUACGUGCCAGCCGCCGCGGUAAUAC
rnacentral:rRNA from 1 species